rnacentral:rRNA from 1 species
GCUUACGACCACACCGGCCUGAGUACGCCUGAUCUCGUCUGAUCUCGGAAGCUAAGCAGGGUCGGCCUGGUUAGUACUUGGAUGGGAGACGCCUGGGAAUACCAGGUGCUGUAAGCU